CCUAUUAGUGCCCCCUGAAUAGUCCCAAUGUCCCCCUCAAGGGGCAGUGCCACCCCCUUUGGGGACCACUGCUCUAAAUAAUCUGUUGCCUUAUUCCUCCCUUUUCAUUUCCACCAGAUCCUUCAGAGCCACUGCUCCCCUACUACCCAAAUGCCUUGUUCCAUUCGGCUCUCUAACCUUGAGACACCAUGAAAACCCAAAUGGAUGCUGAUUUUUGACUGGCUUGGCUAUGAAUUUAGCAACAAGCCAUACAUUUCAAUUGGAGUAGAUCAUAAAGUGAAAGAGUUCCUGCUUUGGAGUCCAACAAGUUGGGGUCAGCUGAGCAUGGCCAUCACAAAAAGCAGAAAGUGAGUGAACGCAAUGAACAAUGGCCAUUGAAAAUACGGCAACAGUGUGCAUUGUUCUGGGCAAGAGGGGACAAGAAAAACAUGCACCAAAAGGGCAGAAGCUAUGUAAGCCUCAUGAAUAUCCACAGGGCAUCUCUUUCAGGCAUUCCCUCUAUAAAACAACAGAGUCCUUGACUGGAAGCACCAUCGAGGCGCUUAUCCACUGUCCUUCUGUGUUCAUCCAGAGAACCCAACCAGAACUCCACCAUGAGAGCUUUCUACCUCGCCUUGACCUUUGUGUUGUUGGCUGCCACUGUCAUGAGUGUUCAAGAUUCCUGUCACAAGAGACCCCCCUGCAGCCGCUAUGGAGGCACCUGUAGGAAGGAUUGCUUGACCAGUGGCAACUACCGGUACGUCCCCACCUGCGACUGCAUUCAUGGCACCAUCUGCUGUUUGCCUCACAAGAAAGGCUGAGCAGGAGGCAGGCCGCCUCACGAGGAGGAGCUGGAGACCCUGUCUUCACCACUCAGCUGUGUAGAGGGGCCCAUCAUGGAUGCUUCUCCUCAAUAAAUUGACAUGAAUGUC